rnacentral:misc_RNA from 1 species
GGCGUGGUCCGUUCAAGUCGUUCCUCGAAAGAGGAACUACGGGAGACGCC